rnacentral:misc_RNA from 1 species
UUUUUUUUUUCCUUUUUUCUUUUCUUCUUUUUUUUUGAGAUUGGCAAGAUUGAGGGUCUCUGAAGUUUGAUUUUUGGACGUUUCCAUGAAGAUUAUAAGUUCACUAGAUUAAUGGUUUCUGCAUUUGUCAAUGAGUAUUUGAUUUCUGAAACUUCUGCUGUGGGGUUGGGGAUUCAGGAGACAAUAGAAUCAAGUUUAGCUUUUGGUAGAGCUAUUGAUGCUUUUUUGAGGACUAGUUUGAUUUGUGGGUUACUGAGUCGUGAAUAUGUGAGUAAUGGUAUCAAA